GUUACGCCCACACAUUUCUUAACCAUUAUAUAUACGAUGUUCAGUUUCAUUUCAAUACGAUUUCGCAGCCGCUGUCAAUCUAGAUCAGAAUCGUUUCUUACAUAUAUGAAAAUCAUGCAUUGUUUUCAUUAAGUUAUCGACUCAUGAUAAUCACCAAGAGUUUCAUGUGUUGAUUUUAUUUUUGUUUAUCAUGCACAAUAGAUCCAAAAAGUACUGAUAGUAAGGAUCCGCCAUAUACAUUUUGGUGUUUCCAAGAUUGUGUUGUUCGGCUGUCAGUCAUAUUAUACAUUGAUCUGUAUUCUGUUGUCAGCCUAGUAGAAUCAGAUCGGUAUCAGUUAGGUGUUCAUAGCAUUUCAAGAGUUGGUUUUGUGGGUUUGUCCGAGGCCCCUGUAUCUUAUGCUUGGAAAGGAUGAAUUGGAUGGUUGAGAAGAAUCCAGAGAUGAUGGGACAAAACAUUUGUAUGUUUCAGUAGCCUAGCGUAAAGAAGAAAGAAUGGCUACCCUGUAAGUAACCUUACAUGACAAUGAUUUCUUGAUUUCUUCAACGCCUGUAAGCAGUCAAUCCAACGAAUCUUCCAUGAAGCUGCUACACCAAUUUCAACAUUAACUUCAAGACCUGAAAGAAACCUCACAACAUCUGAGUUUAUAGCAAGAAACUUGGCCUUAUGAAGCUGUUUGAAAGCCUUGAUCACCAAUUCAACAACCUCUGGUUGCUUAAGAUCAGUGGCUGAUAAUGAAAAGCGGGCCAUACCAGAUUUGGUGCUGAGAGUAUAAACUCAGAAUUGUGAUUAAGAUCUAUCAGACUCAGAUUUUGUAAUGAAUUUGAUGUGACUAUUGGAAUUUACCAACGAGGCAGCGAUCCGUUUAGGCUUGUACUUGUAGGGUUAUAUCGAUUAGUAUAACCCAUUACUCUAUUACCCUUUUUGGACUUAAAAAAAAUUGAAACUUUGAGGAAACUUCACAGAAACGUUUCUGGAUUUCCCGAUUUGUCCCGGAAAAGUUUCCCAGCUGUUUCCUAGGCGUUUCUUUUUCCCCCACGUUUCAGAUACGGGUACGGCCUGUUUGGUUUAAUUUAUUAGAUAAAUGGUGAAAACAAUAAACAUGAACUUUUGUUAUAACAGAGGCCAACUUGGACUCUAUAUCGGGAUAUAUCAAUUAGUUCGAUUGAUUAAAAAAAGCCUAAGUACAAAACAUCUACUACACAAGCUUUAUACUUGUCUUUGCUGAUAAAAGUAGCAGAUACAGUGUUCUUUGGCUGCAGGGUGGAUUAAUCUUUGUUUAAAACUUGUUUUAUUUUCUGUCAGGGAAUUUGUAUGAGUACAAAUAUAUAUCAAAAUGUGUAUCUGUAUGUGUAUGUAUAUGAAUUUGAAUACCACAAGAUCCUAUAAACAUAUUUCACAUUA